CGCGAAAACUUCACACUGCAGGAAACUGUGAUGAGGGAACUCCAAGUGCAUGCACUAUGUGCAUGCUUUUCUUAACUAUUAAUCGGUUUUGGAAUAAGGGCUGGGAAAGACCGGUGCCAGCCGCCGCGGUAAUACCGGCAGCUCAAGUGGUCGUCGCUUUUAUUGGGCCUAAAACGUCCGUAGCCUGUUUGGUAAAUCUGUGGGUAAAUCAACGAGCUUAACUCGUUGAAUUCUGCAGAGACUGCCAGACUAGGGACCGGAGAGGUAUGAGGUACUCUGGGGGUAGGGGUAAAAUCCUGUCAUCCUCAGAGGACCACCUGGUUGCGAAGGCGUCAUACUGGAACGGAUCCGACGGUCAGGGACGAAGCCUAGGGGUACGAACCGGAUUAGAUACCCGGGUAGUCCUAGGUGUAAACGC
rnacentral:rRNA from 1 species